UUUUUUUUUUUUGGAUACAUGCAUAUAUUUAAUAGUGAAACAAUUCAUCAACAACAAAAAAAAUUAGAAAAAUUCAUGAAACCUCAAUGCUGUGGAAGAGAACAGGACAUCAAGGCAAAAGAUACGAAAUCUGACCCAGAAGGCUGCCUGAUGAGUUAAGCAAAGGCAAAUUUGCUUAGGAUAGUAUUAUAUGCCAUUGAAAAGAAAAAUGGUUGGAAAGGUACCCACUUAUUUGCAUGGAAGCUGACAGCCUUACUGUAUGCUGCACGGAAUGGAGGCGAAGAGCCAGGGAAGGGAGAGGGGUGACAGAGGAAAAGCAAUACAGAAUCCAGGGUAAGCAGAUGGAAGAGACAAAGAGUUACAAAGAGAUGACUCUAAGGCCUUUUGUUUGCAGUCUACAAUAAACCUGUUACAAGUCUUUAUGUCAGUCAAGUCCAAUGAUCACAUAACGAGUAGCACUAGGCAAGUAGCACUAGGCGCAGUGAAGAACAAUGGAGUGGUUUACAAAAGUAAAGGGAUAACAUGGUUCCUACUCUCAAGGAGCUUACAACCUAUAUGGGAAACAGAUUCCACACACAAAACAAAUUUACAAAGUAACAUAAAUAUAAAUAAAUACACAUCUGAAUAAACAACAUAUGAAAGCCUAAGGGGUACUGGGUCAAUACUUAUCUAGAAGUCUGUAGGUCAAAGAAGGCUUUCUGAAGGAAAAACUUGGGGACUGAGUAUAAUGUUAGCAGAGAGUAGGGCAUGUGCAAAAGCAUAGAAGUGUAAGUAAAUAUGUCCAGGAAGCAGAUUAGCUUGAUUAAAGUAGAAAGUCUAAAUAGGUCUCGUUGAGAAGUAUGGUGAAACAGUAGGGGGUUAAUUUGGUGAAAGACACUGCAGUGUUCGGUCUGGUCCCUAAAGCAAACAGGGAAAGAGGUUUUCUUUAAGUAAUGAUGGUAAGUGGCACAUGUCCAGGAGUAACUCCACUGCUCUCAAAAGUUUUAGUUACUCGGAGACAGAGAAACUAGCAAUGAAAUGGUAGAGAAGUAUUCAGCAUCCUUGAACAGUUUAAGAGAAGAAACUGCCUUCUGCAAGAACACUUGCAAAGUGGCAAGUGAAAACAAUCCAUGAAACUCCUAGAUUCAGGAUCCACCAUCCCAAAGGCCAGCCAGAUCCCAGUAAAAUCAAGUGCUCAAGUAGAAUGUCCUAGGCCCUCAUUACCAAUUCUUAGUGGGGAGCGAAUUGUAUAUGCUUAUAAAAGAAUUUAUUUUUGAGCUACCAUGACAAUCAAGUUUGAUCCUAACAUUCUAGAAAUUAAAAUAGGAGGAUGAGAAGAGCCCUAAUCUAUAGGGAAUGCUCACGUCCCUGAAGGAGGACAGGUCAGUAGGGCCCAAAUUCUUCCCUGGUCUUUAUGUGGAAAGGCAAAAUAUCACACCGUGAAAAGAGGCUUUUCUCAGCCAAAGCAAGUUAAGACCUCUUUCUUUAAGCCUAUUGAUCUGAAGUUGUUCCAGGAAGGACAAAAAGAGUCCAGGCCAGAUACUCAGCAGCAGCCAGAGUUGGACCCUAUUUCAUUAGAGCUCCGCUGGGAGGCACUGGGUCCUACUGAUGUUGAAAUACACUGCUGAGGACCAAUCUUGAUGCCAUUCGCCUCAUUGUGGACAUCAAAUAAACCCUGCUGGAUCUUCCUAUAUAUUUCUUUGGCUGUGUUAAUGAAGGCCUCUUCAACAUUGCAGGCUGUUUUGGCUGAAGUUUCCAUGAAGAUAAGUCCAUGCUCCCGGGCAAAGGCCUCUCCUUCUCUCUUCACAUCCCUACGGGAUUCUAAGUCACUCUUAUUCCCAAUCAGCAUGAUAACCAUGUUGGAGCUGGAGUGUUGCCGGGCAUCCUCUAACCAGGAGGUCAGGUGGUUGAAGGUUUCACGCCUUGUGAUGUCAUAUACUAGCAGUGCUCCAGCUGCUCCCCUGUAGUAGGAACGGGUGAUAGAACGGAAGGAUUCUUGCCCAGCCGUGUCCCAGAUUUGCAGUUUGAUUUGUUUUCCAUCAAUGUUGACCAUACGGGCCCCAAACUCCACACCUAUGGUGAGGUCGUGCACCGGCUGGAACCGCUUGUCCGUGAACUGCAGGAGGAGACAUGACUUGCCCACGCCUGAAAGAGGAGCGCGGACG
rnacentral:lncRNA from 1 species